UCUGGUUGAUUCUGCCAGUAGUCAUAUGCUUGUCUCAAAGAUUAAGCCAUGCAUGUCUAAGUAUAAGCACUUUAUACUGUGAAACUGCGAAUGGCUCAUUAAAUCAGUUAUCGUUUAUUUGAUAGUACCUUACUACAUGGAUACCUGUGGUAAUUCUAGAGCUAAUACAUGCUAAAAACCUCGACUUCGGAAGGGGUGUAUUUAUUAGAUAAAAAACCAAUGCCCUUCGGGGCUCCUUGGUGAUUCAUAAUAACUUAACGAAUCGCAUGGCCUUGCGCCGGCGAUGGUUCAUUCAAAUUUCUGCCCUAUCAACUUUCGAUGGUAGGAUAGUGGCCUACCAUGGUGGCAACGGGUAACGGGGAAUUAGGGUUCGAUUCCGGAGAGGGAGCCUGAGAAACGGCUACCACAUCCAAGGAAGGCAGCAGGCGCGCAAAUUACCCAAUCCCGACACGGGGAGGUAGUGACAAUAAAUACUGAUACGGGGCUCUUUUGGGUCUCGUAAUUGGAAUGAGUACAAUCUAAAUCCCUUAACGAGGAACAAUUGGAGGGCAAGUCUGGUGCCAGCAGCCGCGGUAAUUCCAGCUCCAAUAGCGUAUAUUAAAGUUGUUGCAGUUAAAAAGCUCGUAGUUGAACCUUGGGUCUGGCUGGCCGGUCCGCCUCACCGCGAGUACUGGUCCGGCUGGACCUUUCCUUCUGGGGAACCUCAUGGCCUUCACUGGCUGUGGGGGGAACCAGGACUUUUACUGUGAAAAAAUUAGAGUGUUCAAAGCAGGCCUUUGCUCGAAUACAUUAGCAUGGAAUAAUAGAAUAGGACGUAGGAGGUAGGGUCAGCAUUAGGGUCAACAUUAGGGUCAACAUUAGGGUCAACAUUAGGGUCAACAUUAGGGUCAACAUUAGGGUCAACAUUAGGGUCAACAUUAGGGUCAACAUUAGGGUCAACAUUAGGGUCAACAUUAGGGUCAACAUUAGGGUCAACAUUAGGGUCAACAUUAGGGUCAACAUUAGGGUCACCC
rnacentral:rRNA from 1 species